AGGCAAUCAGGCCAUUCAAUUCACUAAGAGCAAGCCAAUCACCCACUUAUACUGCUUAACCUCUGCUUGCUGCUGACUUUGGCACUGCUCCUGCCUUUUGAUCCUUCUUAAGAUCCUAAUUAAGCUCCUUAUUAUCAAGCCUCAGAUCCAUCUUUUGCGGAUUCUUUGUACGAUGAAACUAUAACUUGAAACACCACCGUUUGCUGUUUACACCCUACUUUCAGACCAGCUUGCUACAGGUGCGCCAGAGGUCGAGGUCUUACCUACCACAUCCAGAGAUUCCACUUUUGAUUCAAGUCGAACUGCCCUUGAAGAUGCCCCGCUUACUAUUGGACUUUCGACGGCGAAGAUGCCCCGCUUACUAUUGGACUUUCGACGGCUCGGUUCCUUGAGCUUGAAACUUCCCCUUACGCAGUUGAUUCUACUGUUCCUUAAUACUUUCCCAUAUUAGCUUCAUCAGAAAGAAGUACGAGUUGGCCGGGAAAAC
rnacentral:lncRNA from 1 species